rnacentral:rRNA from 1 species
AUACGGAGGAUCCGAGCGUUAUCCGGAUUUAUUGGGUUUAAAGGGUGCGCAGGCGGGAGAUUAAGUCGGCGGUGAAAUUUUGCAGCUCAACUGUAAAAGUGCCUUCGAUACUGGUUUCCUUGAGUGUGGAUGAAGUAGGCGGAAUUUGUGGUGUAGCGGUGAAAUGCUUAGAUAUCACGAGGAACUCCGAUUGCGCAGGCAGCUUACUAAACCACUACUGACGCUCAGGCACGAAGGCGUGGGGAUCAAACAGGAUUAGAUACCCUGGUAGUCCACGCAGUAAACGAUGAUUACUAGCUGUUUGCGAUACAAUGUAAGCGGCUGAGCGAAAGCGUUAAGUAAUCCACCUGGGGAGUACGUUCGCAAGAAUGAAACUCAAAUGAAUUGACGGGG